GGACUACAGGGGUAUCUAAUCCUGUUUGCUCCCCAUGCUUUCGCACCUCAGCGUCAGUAUUAGGCCAGAAGGCUGCCUUCGCCAUCGGUAUUCCUCCAGAUCUCUACGCAUUUCACCGCUACACCUGGAAUUCUACCUUCCUCUCCCAUACUCUAGCCGUGCAGUUUUGAAGGCAGUGCCCAGGUUAAGCCCGGGGAUUUCACCUCCAACUUGCACAACCGCCUACGCGCGCUUUACGCCCAGUAAUUCCGAUUAACGCUUGCACCCUCUGUAUUACCGCGGCUGCUGGCAC
rnacentral:rRNA from 1 species